AUGCAGCCCGGACCACCGCGCAAAUCGACUGCGACCCCAGCCUCACAGACGACAGAUUUUGUCUCUCCAACAAUUCCUCAGUCGAACACCGCACCCUUCUCAGAUCGCGAACAAAUCAGCUGUCACUUCCCAAUGCCUCCAAAUUGCGUCGCUGAUUCGCACCUGAAAUUCAAGUUGGUGGGUUUCACUUUCUUGAAAUUUUUUAUAUCAUUUGGCUGUUGUUUACUUUUUGCUUUGUCUACUUUUGAUUUUAUGAGGUGA